rnacentral:rRNA from 1 species
GCUAAUACCGCAUAACAAUGGAUGACACAUGUCAUUUAUUUGAAAGGGGCAAUUGCUCCACUACAAGAUGGACCUGCGUUGUAUUAGCUAGUAGGUGAGGUAAUGGCUCACCUAGGCGACGAUACAUAGCCGACCUGAGAGGGUGAUCGGCCACACUGGGACUGAGACACGGCCCAGACUCCUACGGGAGGCAGCAGUAGGGAAUCUUCGGCAAUGGGGGCAACCCUGACCGAGCAACGCCGCGUGAGUGAAGAAGGUUUUCGGAUCGUAAAGCUCUGUUGUAAGUCAAGAACGGGUGUGAGAGUGGAAAGUUCACACUGUGACGGUAGCUUACCAGAAAGGGACGGCUAACUACGUGCCAGCAGCCGCGGUAAUACGUAGGUCCCGAGCGUUGUCCGGAUUUAUUGGGCGUAAAGCGAGCGCAGGCGGUUUGAUAAGUCUGAAGUUAAAGGCUGUGGCUCAACCAUAGUUCGCUUUGGAAACUGUCAAACUUGAGUGCAGAAGGGGAGAGUGGAAUUCCAUGUGUAGCGGUGAAAUGCGUAGAUAUAUGGAGGAACACCGGUGGCGAAAGCGGCUCUCUGGUCUGUAACUGACGCUGAGGCUCGAAAGCGUGGGGAGCGAACAGGAUUAGAUACCCUGGUAGUCCACGCCGUAAACGAUGAGUGCUAGGUGUUGGAUCCUUUCCGGGAUUCAGUGCCGCAGCUAACGCAUUAAGCACUCCGCCUGGGGAGUACGACCGCAAGGUUGAAACUCAAAGGAAUUGACGGGGGCCCGCACAAGCGGUGGAGCAUGUGGUUUAAUUCGAAGCAACGCGAAGAACCUUACCAGGUCUUGACAUCCCGAUGCUAUUUCUAGAGAUAGAAAGUUACUUCGGUACAUCGGUGACAGGUGGUGCAUGGUUGUCGUCAGCUCGUGUCGUGAGAUGUUGGGUUAAGUCCCGCAACGAGCGCAACCCCUAUUGUUAGUUGCCAUCAUUCAGUUGGGCACUCUAGCGAGACUGCCGGUAAUAAACCGGAGGAAGGUGGGGAUGACGUCAAAUCAUCAUGCCCCUUAUGACCUGGGCUACACACGUGCUACAAUGGUUGGUACAACGAGUUGCGAGUCGGUGACGGCGAGCUAAUCUCUUAAAGCCAAUCUCAGUUCGGAUUGUAGGCUGCAACUCGCCUACAUGAAGUCGGAAUCGCUAGUAAUCGCGGAUCA